rnacentral:misc_RNA from 1 species
GAUGAAGAACGCAGCGAAAUGCGAUAAGUAAUGUGAAUUGCAGAAUUCAGUGAAUCAUCGAAUCUUUGAACGCACCUUGCACCCUUUGGUAUUCCGAAGGGUACACCCGUUUGAGUGUCAUUGUAAUCUCACACCUAAAGGUUUUCGAACCCGAGGGAUUGUGGACUUGGAUGUUUCUGCCGCUGCGAAGCGGCUCGUCUCAAAUGCCUUAGUGUGACCGGCUUGCCUUAGUGUCAUCUGGUGUGAUAAGCAUCUUCACCGGAGCUUUUGGGACCCUCUCUUUUGAGGAACCCGCACUGGGCUCGCCUCUGGUCAGCUUCGAACCGUCUCCGGACAAUGCAUUGACAAUUUGACCUCAAAUCGGGUGGGACUACCCGCUGAACUUAAGCAUAUCAAUAAGCGGAGGA